AUUUAAUCCUUUCCCACAAUGCUUUGUGUCCACGUCCCCUGCUUCCUGUUUAUUGUGACCGUCUCCACCGGUAAAAUUUUAACGUUUAUGCCGCCGUGCCGCCGUCAAAAGAUCGGGCUGUAGCUGCUCCUUUGCAUCCCUGGGGUCAGGAUGGAGGACUCUGAGACGGAGCUGGUGGUGUCGGAGUCUGAUGCUCUGGGUGCAGACUUCAUCACAGUGGAGUUGGACACUCAGCCUAUUGAGUACGUGGUGAAGUGGGCCGAGGUGGGGUCAAAGUUUACCAUCUCCUGCGUGAAGAAGGACUCCGACGACCCAACAGAGCUGACGGCGGAGCAGCUGAAGAUGGAGACGGAGGAGGCCUUCUUCGCUCCCUAUGAGGAGGUGUACCCUUGCGAAGUGACGGAGCAGAGCGUGGAGAUCAAGACGGACUCCGACGAUGACGAGGAGGACACCGAGGAGGAGCAGGAGGUGCUAGUGGAGGCAGUAGGCAGCCAGCCGGAGGGCGAGGGCGAUUCGGACCUGGCUGACUUUGAGCCAGACGAGCGUCAGUACCGCUGCAGCUAUUGCGGAAAGAGCUACAGCCACGCCUCCAGCCUUUACCGCCACCAGCAGACGCAUGGAGGCCAGAGCGCCGGGGGGGCGCCAUCGCCCGCCAAACGGGCGCUGGAGCCCCCCGCCCCAAGAGGCGCGGUACACCUGCCCCCACUGUGGAAUGAGCUUCAAAGGAAGCAGGAUGUUGGGCAGUCACCUGCGGCUGCACGGAAAGCGGAGGAUUCACCCAUGCAACCUCUGUGGGAAGGAAUUCAACCACAGCUCCAGCCUGUCGCGCCACCGCCUCAUCCACAAGAAGGGGAAGGGGCCCAAAGACGUGGCCCCCAGCCCUAA
ensembl:lncRNA